rnacentral:tRNA from 1 species
GUCGAAGUAGCUCAGAUGGGAGAGCGUUAGACUAUAGAUCGAAAGUCUCUGGUUCGAUCCAGGGUUCCGGCA